CGCGUAGGCGGCCCGGUAAGUCCGCUCUGAAAGUCCAGGGCUCAACCCUGGAAAGCGGGUGGAUACUGCCGGGCUAGAGUCCGGAAGAGGCGAGUGGAAUUCCUGGUGUAGCGGUGGAAUGCGCAGAUAUCAGGAGGAACACCAAUAGCGAAGGCAGCUCGCUGGGACGGUACUGACGCUGAGGCGCGAAAGCGUGGGGAGCAAACAGGAUUAGAUACCCUGGUAGUCCACGCCGUAAACGAUGGGCACUAGGUGUGGGAGGUGUCGACUCCUCCCGUGCCGACGCUAACGCAUUAAGUGCCCCGCCUGGGGAGUACGGCCGCAAGGCUAAA
rnacentral:rRNA from 1 species